GGGAGGAAUCCAUACCAGCGUUAAUGCACCGGAUCCCAUCAGAACUCCGCAGUUAAGCGCGCUUGGGCUAGAGUAGUACUGGGAUGGGUGACCACCCGAGAAGUCCUAGUGUUGCACCCU
rfam:Picea glauca, whole genome shotgun sequence.